GGUUAAGCGACUAAGCGUACACGGUGGAUGCCCUGGCAGUCAGAGGCGAUGAAGGACGUGCUAAUCUGCGAUAAGCGUCGGUAAGGUGAUAUGAACCGUUAUAACCGGCGAUUUCCGAAUGGGGAAACCCAGUGUGAUUCGUCACACUAUCAUUAACUGAAUCCAUAGGUUAAUGAGGCGAACCGGGGGAACUGAAACAUCUAAGUACCCCGAGGAAAAGAAAUCAACCGAGAUUCCCCCAGUAGCGGCGAGCGAACGGGGAGCAGCCCAGAGCCUGAAUCAGUGUGUGUGUUAGUGGAAGCGUCUGGAAAGGCGCGCGAUACAGGGUGACAGCCCCGUACACAAAAAUGCACAUGCUGUGAGCUCGAUGAGUAGGGCGGGACACGUGGUAUCCUGUCUGAAUAUGGGGGGACCAUCCUCCAAGGCUAAAUACUCCUGACUGACCGAUAGUGAACCAGUACCGUGAGGGAAAGGCGAAAAGAACCCCGGCGAGGGGAGUGAAAAAGAACCUGAAACCGUGUACGUACAAGCAGUGGGAGCACAGAGCAAUCUGUGUGACUGCGUACCUUUUGUAUAAUGGGUCAGCGACUUAUAUUCUGUAGCAAGGUUAACCGAAUAGGGGAGCCGAAGGGAAACCGAGUCUUAACUGGGCGUUAAGUUGCAGGGUAUAGACCCGAAACCCGGUGAUCUAGCCAUGGGCAGGUUGAAGGUUGGGUAACACUAACUGGAGGACCGAACCGACUAAUGUUGAAAAAUUAGCGGAUGACUUGUGGCUGGGGGUGAAAGGCCAAUCAAACCGGGAGAUAGCUGGUUCUCCCCGAAAGCUAUUUAGGUAGCGCCUCGUGAAUUCAUCUCCGGGGGUAGAGCACUGUUUCGGCAAGGGGGUCAUCCCGACUUACCAACCCGAUGCAAACUGCGAAUACCGGAGAAUGUUAUCACGGGAGACACACGGCGGGUGCUAACGUCCGUCGUGAAGAGGGAAACAACCCAGACCGCCAGCUAAGGUCCCAAAGUCAUGGUUAAGUGGGAAACGAUGUGGGAAGGCCCAGACAGCCAGGAUGUUGGCUUAGAAGCAGCCAUCAUUUAAAGAAAGCGUAAUAGCUCACUGGUCGAGUCGGCCUGCGCGGAAGAUGUAACGGGGCUAAACCAUGCACCGAAGCUGCGGCAGCGACGCUGAUGCGUUGUUGGGUAGGGGAGCGUUCUGUAAGCCUGCGAAGGUGUGCUGUGAGGCAUGCUGGAGGUAUCAGAAGUGCGAAUGCUGACAUAAGUAACGAUAAAGCGGGUGAAAAGCCCGCUCGCCGGAAGACCAAGGGUUCCUGUCCAACGUUAAUCGGGGCAGGGUGAGUCGACCCCUAAGGCGAGGCCGAAAGGCGUAGUCGAUGGGAAACAGGUUAAUAUUCCUGUACUUGGUGUUACUGCGAAGGGGGACGGAGAAGGCUAUGUUGGCCGGGCGACGGUUGUCCCGGUUUAAGCGUGUAGGCUGGUUUUCCAGGCAAAUCCGGAAAAUCAAGGCUGAGGCGUGAUGACGAGGCACUACGGUGCUGAAGCAACAAAUGCCCUGCUUCCAGGAAAAGCCUCUAAGCAUCAGGUAACAUCAAAUCGUACCCCAAACCGACACAGGUGGUCAGGUAGAGAAUACCAAGGCGCUUGAGAGAACUCGGGUGAAGGAACUAGGCAAAAUGGUGCCGUAACUUCGGGAGAAGGCACGCUGAUAUGUAGGUGAAGUCCCUCGCGGAUGGAGCUGAAAUCAGUCGAAGAUACCAGCUGGCUGCAACUGUUUAUUAAAAACACAGCACUGUGCAAACACGAAAGUGGACGUAUACGGUGUGACGCCUGCCCGGUGCCGGAAGGUUAAUUGAUGGGGUCAGCGCAAGCGAAGCUCUUGAUCGAAGCCCCGGUAAACGGCGGCCGUAACUAUAACGGUCCUAAGGUAGCGAAAUUCCUUGUCGGGUAAGUUCCGACCUGCACGAAUGGCGUAAUGAUGGCCAGGCUGUCUCCACCCGAGACUCAGUGAAAUUGAACUCGCUGUGAAGAUGCAGUGUACCCGCGGCAAGACGGAAAGACCCCGUGAACCUUUACUAUAGCUUGACACUGAACAUUGAGCCUUGAUGUGUAGGAUAGGUGGGAGGCUUUGAAGUGUGGACGCCAGUCUGCAUGGAGCCGGCCUUGAAAUACCACCCUUUAAUGUUUGAUGUUCUAACGUUGACCCGUAAUCCGGGUUGCGGACAGUGUCUGGUGGGUAGUUUGACUGGGGCGGUCUCCUCCUAAAGAGUAACGGAGGAGCACGAAGGUUGGCUAAUCCUGGUCGGACAUCAGGAGGUUAGUGCAAUGGCAUAAGCCAGCUUGACUGCGAGCGUGACGGCGCGAGCAGGUGCGAAAGCAGGUCAUAGUGAUCCGGUGGUUCUGAAUGGAAGGGCCAUCGCUCAACGGAUAAAAGGUACUCCGGGGAUAACAGGCUGAUACCGCCCAAGAGUUCAUAUCGACGGCGGUGUUUGGCACCUCGAUGUCGGCUCAUCACAUCCUGGGGCUGAAGUAGGUCCCAAGGGUAUGGCUGUUCGCCAUUUAAAGUGGUACGCGAGCUGGGUUUAGAACGUCGUGAGACAGUUCGGUCCCUAUCUGCCGUGGGCGCUGGAGAACUGAGGGGGGCUGCUCCUAGUACGAGAGGACCGGAGUGGACGCAUCACUGGUGUUCGGGUUGUCAUGCCAAUGGCACUGCCCGGUAGCUAAAUGCGGAAGAGAUAAGUGCUGAAAGCAUCUAAGCACGAAACUUGCCCCGAGAUGAGUUCUCCCUGACUCCUUGAGAGUCCUGAAGGAACGUUGAAGACGACGACGUUGAUAGGCCGGGUGUGUAAGCGCAGCGAUGCGUUGAGCUAACCGGUACUAAUGAACCGUGAGGCUUAACCUU
rnacentral:rRNA from 1 species